rnacentral:misc_RNA from 1 species
GAUGAAGAACGUAGCGAAAUGCGAUAAGUAAUGUGAAUUGCAGAAUUCAGUGAAUCAUCGAAUCUUUGAACGCACCUUGCGCCCUUUGGCCAUUCCGAAGGGCAUGCCUGUUUGAGUAUCAUGAACACCUCAACUCUUCAUGGUUUUCCAUGAUGAGCUUGGACUUUGGGGGUCUUGCUGGCCUGUGGGUCGGCUCCUCUCAAGUGAAUCAGCUUGCCGGUUUUUGGUGGGCAUCACAGGUGUGAUAACUAUCUACGCUUGUGGUUUUCCACCAGGGUAACCUUCAGCAGUGGAGGUUCACUGGAGCUUACAAAUGUCUCUCCUCUGUGAGGACAGCCCUUUGAAUGUUUGAUCUCAAAUCAGGUAGGACUACCCGCUGAACUUAAGCAUAUCAAUAAGCGGAGGA